UAGACCUAAACCGUUGGGUUACUAGUAGCUUUUGCCAUGUUAGAGACAUGAGGAUUGGAUACUUGAGCUUUGACUACGCUUGUUUGCCAUUUGUGCUCAUUCGCACAUGCUUGUGAGGGUCGCUCCCUACAAGCCGGCACUCCGGAGUUAGCCUACGCGACCUAUGUUCGCUCGUGCGGUAUUGAGAAGCCUACGGGGUCGAGUGGAAUAGACACAUUCCAAGAAUAGGGAUGUUGGGCUACCACAAGCACUUAGGCGGCACAAGCUGGACUACCUUUGGUAGGUCC
rnacentral:lncRNA from 1 species